rnacentral:tRNA from 1 species
UCCCUGGUGGCUCAGAUGGUAAAGAACCUGACUGCAAUGCAGGAGACCCAGGUUUGAUCCCUGGGUUGGGAA